UUCCUUUUUUUUUAAUAUUUAAGGAUUUUUUAAGUCUUGGUAUUUUCUUUCCUUUUUUUCAAAUCAAAAAAAAUGUGCUCUCUACAGUGCUCUGCCCACAUUGCUUUAUGCAAAUGGCACACACACACGCACAUAUGUCUUUAACAGCACGGAGGUUGUGUUCACUCUUCCAAUUACGAGAUGUUAGCCGUUCCAAUAGGACAGCAAAAGGACAGAGUGGCCACACGAUCGGACGUACUAUGGUUACUGGUGCUUCACACCCACAGAUCUAAUCAGGGAUCGCACUUUCUAUUUCCUACCUUUUGACUCCAGGGAAUCAGGGUAAACUUCUGGAUGUGGUUUAUGAGGGAUUUACACUGGCACGGAAGGUAUGUAGUUCGACAUCCCACUGUCGUCAUUCUCCAUGUCCUACGGGAUUUAUGAAUGGGUGGCUACUAUUUUAUACAACUCUGCCUAUCGUAAAAUUAUUUCGCUUCUGACCACUUCCUAAACUGUAGCUGUCACAAACCCCACGCCAUUCCACACACAGCCGCAUACCGAUCAGACACCAAAAAGCAUAGCCAAUCCAAAACAACCACAAGAAACGAAAAAACCAUGGGUAGAUCAUAUUACCCCAAAAAAAAAAACAAAGUAAUUCAUAUUAAAACAUACCCGCAACGCUCUGGCCAACAACACAAACAUCUCAUUGGCCAGAGGACAGAAAAAAAACUGAAAUUCGCCAAACGAAAAAAAAUUAUCUACAGCGUGGAUACUCACACACAUACACACCUGGCCAACCCGUUUAACAUUUGGCCUUACAACGAAAAAUGCAUUUGUUGCAAAAAAAAAACAAGAAAAGAUAGACAAUGUGCACGCAACAUAGAUCGCCUGGCAAAAAAAAAUAUAGUACUGCGCCAACAAUAAUUUGGGCAAUUUUUCUUGUAAGUCCUGGGCAAUCAUCCAGUCCUGGUAUUAUGACCAAAGAGGCGGCCAGAGCUUACCCAAGCAGUGACAUGUGCUUCAUUACUUACUCCAUCCGGCCGAAUACAUAAUAUUCGGGGUGACGCCCUUUGCCACAGCAGGCCAAUAAAUGCAAGGCAGACAACUACAGAAAAACAAACCUACGUGUCAUGCCCGAUGAGCAGACGUCCUAUAUAAGCCCUCAGGCAUCAAUUGUACAAAUCGCACAUUCUGUGACCUCGUAUAUAAACAGAAGCAGGACAGGCAACUAUGACCAGUGGGCGUUAUGGAAAACCUGGGGCAAUGAAUGCAUGUCCAUUACCUGGAUCUUUCUUUUCCCAAAAUAAUGCAUUAUCUUUGUCGUUAUCUUAUUCAUCAUGUAUUUCCUCUGCCUUUAUGUGUCAUCAAUAAAAUAACAUAUCGAUUCGCA